rnacentral:rRNA from 1 species
GCCAGCCCGCUCAGAAACUUAAAGGAAUUGACGGGGCCGGUACAAGCGGAGGAGCAUGUGGUUUAAUUCGAUGAUACGCGAGGAACUUACCUGGGCUCGAACGUAAGAUGACUGUAGGUGAAGGCUUACAUCUCUUCGGAGCAUUUUACGAGGUGCUGCAUGGUUGUCGUCAGCUCGUGCCGUGAGGUGUCGGGUUAAGUCCCAUAACGAGCGCAACCCCUACCUUAGUUGCCAUCAGGUUAAGCUGGGGACUCUAAAGGAACUGCCUACGCAAGUAGUGAGGAAGGCGGGGAUGACGUCAAAUCAGCACGGCCCUUACGUCCAGGGCUACACACGUGCUACAAUGGCCGAUACAGAGGGCAGCUACCUGGUGACAGGAUGCAAAUCUCCAAAGUCGGUCUCAGUUCGGAUCGGAGUCUGCAACCCGACUCCGUGAAGUUGGAUUCGCUAGUAAUCGCGCAUCAGCCAUGGCGCGGUGAAUACGUUCCCGGGCCUU